rnacentral:tRNA from 1 species
AAGGCUUUAAGUUAAUAUUAAACUGAUAACCUUCAAAGCUAUAAAUAAAGAAAUCCCUAUCUUUAAGCCUUA